GGUGGUCCGCACGGGAGCCCGAGGACGGGCUGAGAGGGAGCCGGGACCGCUCCGACCGUGGAACCUGAUCCGGGUCAUGCCGGCGCAGGGAGCGUGAUUCCAUGAAGG
rnacentral:ncRNA from 2 species